CCCAUGCUUGUGCACAUCUCCCAAGGGCUGCCCAGGCCCUCCACAGCCACCCCCGUGGCCUCAAUUCACCAAAAUGUCUCAACAUGAGCUUCAAGAGGACGUGGUAAACCCUGCUCCGUAAUUGCUGGGUGAAUGUCUCUCAUCUCUUUAUUUUUAAUGACUCCUGAGAUGGGACUGGAGGCACAGCGCAACUUACCAUUCGUUUCAGAGCAUAACAAAAAUGUCAGCAUUUGAAUUUACCAUAAAAGAGACAUUUUCUGCAAGACAGAAAUUUCUGUGGGUUGGUCUCAUUAAAGAAAUGAAGCUCAGUUACUGAAUAGAGUAAAAAAGAACGCAGAACAAUAUUCAAGAGCCCUUGGGGGUUUGGAACAAGUGGCACAUAAGAAGAGCCAGUCCUGAUUACAGGCUGAGGCAUACAGCCAUGCAGAAUACUCUCUUGCAGAAUCAGUAUUGCAAUCUGUGGAUGUUCCUGAGGCCAGCCUACACAUCAGAACAGCAAAAAUGGUCAGUCUGGCUUAGUUAUCAGUGUGAGUUCCUCUCUCGGGGAGCUAUGCUUAGUUAAUCUUGGGAAUAAGACAAUCUUGACAAAUGAAAGGCUCUCUAGGUUCUAAACCCACCAAUUUCCAUCAUUUUAAAGAAACUGAAAACAGAAAUUAAGGAACACAGGGGAAAGAAAAACAUACUUGUGUUCAACUUAAGAGUGACAAACAGAAAUUAUCCUGCUUAGCCCCCAGGAUUUGCUUUUUCUUCUUCUCAUCUCUUUUUCCCUCUGAGAAGAGACCAUUGUUACUCAAAUGGCACAACAAAGUUUAUUGGUUUGGCCAGCAUCUUAAUAUGAGUGCUACUGCCGGCUC